GACACUAUGUCCGAGUGGUUAAGGAGACAGACUUGAAUAUUCAUUCGGGUAUCUGUUGGGUUCGCCCGCACAAGUUCGAUCCUUGUUGGUGUCG